rnacentral:rRNA from 1 species
AGAACGAACGCUGGCGGCAGGCCUAACACAUGCAAGUCGAACGUGAAGCCACCUUCGGGUGGUGGAAAGUGGCAGACGGGUGAGUAACGCGUGGGAAUCUACCCAAUGGUACGGAAUAACUCAGGGAAACUUGAGCUAAUACCGUAUGUGCCCGAAAGGGGAAGAUUUAUCGCCAUUGGAUGAGCCCGCGUCUGAUUAGCUAGUUGGUGGGGUAAUGGCCCACCAAGGCGACGAUCAGUAGCUGGUCUGAGAGGAUGAUCAGCCACACUGGGACUGAGACACGGCCCAGACUCCUACGGGAGGCAGCAGUGGGGAAUAUUGGACAAUGGGCGCAAGCCUGAUCCAGCCAUGCCGCGUGAGUGAUGAAGGCCCUAGGGUUGUAAAGCUCUUUCGACGGGGACGAUAAUGACGGUACCCGUAGAAGAAGCCCCGGCUAACUUCGUGCCAGCAGCCGC